GUGCUUGACGGCAUCUUAGAAGCUUUAAGGUCGCUGGCUCAGAAAUCUCUACACGGCCUCCUCCACAUGCGCAUCGGUCCAAGUCUGGGCGUUAAGGCCUGUGAUAACGUCGAAGAGUGUCGAGCUGCUGAAGGGUUGAAGCUAUGGCUGACUCCUAUGACCCGACUCCUACUCACCCCUCCAGUGACCUUGAGCCAUCCCUCA
rnacentral:lncRNA from 1 species